rnacentral:lncRNA from 1 species
UAAGACAACUAGACACUAUCCAAAGGAGCUCAGGAGCCAGAACUGACCAGGCUCCCUCUUAAAUCAAGGUAUUAAGAGGAUCAAAGCAAUGGUGAUUCAAAAUCAGACAGGAGACAUAAGGGAGAGUGGAGUCAUCCCAAAACACCAUCCAAGUUGACACACAAAAUUCACCAUCACAAAUAUUCUGGGUGACGAGAUGCGAAGUAUGGAGAAAAGCACUUGUGCAACUGUUUGAGUUGCCAGCUGACUGCUCAUUUAUUUCAUGAAUGCCAUUUUUACUUGAAAGUAGAAAAGAGACAAACUAUGGAUAUUCAGAUUUGGGAAACAGGAACGUAGUGAGUAUCCCACGAGGGACUAUGAGCUGCAAAAUAGGAAGACAUUUGAUACCUAUUGAAGGUCAUGGGGAAAAAACAAGAUGGUAUAAAGGAAGCCUCCAAGGAACACUGGACAUUGGUGGAGACCAGGUGUAAGGUCUAUCUAGCCUUGCACUUGGCAGAUGGUGGAGGAUGUUGGAGGGG